rnacentral:lncRNA from 1 species
CCCCAUACUCUCUUCUGCUUCUACAGCCACCGGAGAGGCCCUCGAUUAAAGUUGGAGACAUCUCAAGAUGGGAGAAGCCUAGAUCCCCAUGUCACGGCUUGAAGGAGAGCCACCAGGAAAGCUGCCAGAAGAGAAAUAUCUUUAUUGGUCUCAGCAUGCAGGAGAAAUUAACUUUUAUUGGAUUAAUCCUUCGAGAUUUGAGAUGGCUGUUGAUGGACGGCUGUCCCCUGCACACCGACAGAAACAUCUUCGUGCUAGGUUUGCCCAGCUGAACACAUGCCACAGCUGAUCCGUCUGUUGAGCAGGCCGCACACCACUGCUGAUCAAUCUUCACAUGCCAAUUAUGUGAUGUGGAGUGGGCUGGGAGGAGCAUGCACAGGGGACCUCUGAGGGUCUAUUUGAGGGCAUGAAUAUGGAAAAUUCAGCUCCAGCUCCUCCACCCCACUCCCUGAACAGCACUGCAGAACUGUGCUAAGCUCCUGUGGCUUGGAAAGAACAGAUGCAAGAGACAUAAUAAAUGCCUCCAAAUAACUUAGUCCUCAACCUGAAGCCAAAGUGAUUUCGGUGUACCAGGAUUGAAAUACUUCUGUAUUCACAACUGAAUGGAUAAACGGGCACUCCUUGUGGCUCCUCAUUGUAUGUCCCCUAGAGGGUCAGCAAGGCCAAGAAUUGGUUUGUGGAACAAAUAUCCAUUACUCCAAUCGGGGAUGAAAAAGAGUACACGCCAUGGAUUUUGCUCUCGGGAGUGAUUGAUUCAGCGAGUGAAAUAAGACCAACAUGCAUGGAAGGGUUGAUGAUGCUAGAAUCUCCCACACUUUGCCAGCCACAGGGAAGUCAAAUCAGUAUUGACUUUGUUAUUCAAAUCAGCACCAGACCGGUCACUUUUAGAAGUGAUACCAUGGGAGGCAAUUAAACCCAGGAAAAUGCUGAGCACUAGAGUGACCAUGCAAGAAGGGGCCUUAGAGAUAGAUCCUGUACGUCUUCACCUGUUGGUGCCAGGGCCAGAACAGAGGCCUGCAAGGGUAAGAGCAAGCUCAGCACCACAGAACUUGUAGGUAACAGAGCCGGGCUCAAGUGCACGCUUCCUGACUGCAAUUUCAACACUCCCAUUCAAGGUGAGAGUGAAAAAUAUUUUCCCCUAGGCUUUCCCCAGUGAUAUUCCCCUAUGCACCAGCAGAGCAUGAGGGUAUGAGACGAAGAUGCACAUCCUAGCCCUAGCUUUGCUACUGACUAGCCACGUGUGUUUGAGCAACUCACAAAACUUCUCCAGAUUUCAGACUCCUCAUUUGUAAAAUAAAGUCAUUUGAUUUGUCCAUUGCUCUCCAUAGUUCACCAAAGUGCCCCUCGUAGGAGAGUGGAAUGGAUGAUGUUUAGAGUAGAAGCUUGGAGAUGUGGCAAUAAGUGACCUUGUGCAAGUGAGAAAUGCACUCAAUAUAUUGGAAUUUGUCUGUCUUAAUAAUUUGUGUGGCUUCUACAUUUUACUUAGUAAUAUAUCUGUGUUUGCUUUCGGGUGAAAAUACUGUUUGAAAUGUCUUACUAUCCAUGAAACUUGGUUUACCAAAGAGGGCCUGUUUUCCCUGAGGUACAAGGACUAGAAGGUUUUCUGAGGCCACCCCCAGCCCCCAUUCAUUGAUUUCGUGUCUUAAGUUGUUUGUGUUUUUUAUUUUAUCACACCCUCCUAUUUCUGGUUCCCAGAAUGUAAGUAGUUCUCCCUCCACAAUGUUCAACAGUCCUCAAUAAUGCCCGGCUAUGUGAAGAUGGAAAGAUGAGGGAAAAUUAGCACCAUAAGCAGAGUCUGGAAAGGUACACAGACAUUUAACAGAUGGAAACAGGAGGGCUGCCAUUCUAGAAAGAUAUGAGGACUGCUCAUCAGCCUGGCUUCCGCUAGAGGAGAUCUAC